AAAGAAAUAAUUCCAAAAAGCUUCUAACUUUAUAAAGAGCACUAACUUGUUCAUAUUUCUU
rnacentral:tRNA from 2 species